UUAUCUUUGUCUCCCGGGACAUCUCUAGGACAGGACACCGGGCAGCAGCCGGGACGUAUCGAUCUCUUAUCAGAGAGGAAGUAGAGACCUGCCACGUAGGCAUGGAGACCCUGGAUCUCGAUGACCUGCUGACCCAGGGUGUGGCGACCAGGAGGGAGCCCCAUCGCUGUGAUUGCAUCCGUCACCAGCACCAGACCUGAGGGCAGCAUGGCGUUGAAGAGGUGGGUGAUGAAGGAGGCUCCGUGUUGAACAGCCUCCUCCGCCUGAGACAGGUUGGCCACAGAGUGACCUGCAGGAGCAGAAGCAGCACAUCUAUAAGAGCCAGAGUUGCUAAAUGCAGCCAACAAAACUGCACAAAGUUUGUUUAUUUGCUUAACAUUUGUGCAUCCCUAAGGACACGUAUUUUAAUAUUCAAUUUCGCUGUGUGACUUUUGUUAAGUGUACCCUCAGUUUCUUUAAAAUGUAUAUAAUAAAAUGUGGAUCAAACAAUACAGUCAAAUAUGUCCCGAUUGAAGCCCAUUAAAAAAAAAAAUGUUUUAAUUAAAUCCUUCGUUUUAUUAUAUCAGACUUUACAUCUAGAGCCCUGCCUUCACUUGUAUUCCUUUCUAUAUUUAACCAGACUGAGAUAUGUUCUUAUGAUUGACCUUUUGGAAACAAAACAUAAACAAAUAUUUAGGAAGUUAUAAGAACCUCGGAACUGAGUUAGUAAAUAGAUUGAAAUCCAUGAAAGCCUUUUUUUGGAUCUGACAAUGCACAAAAAUAAUGCAUAACAAAUAAUGUCGUUCAUCAGAGUUUAUUUUAGGCGUAAAACACAUUCUCAAAGCAGUACUGUAUCCUUACGUUUUUUGUAUGCGAGUAAAGGCUGCUCACCUAGCGACACCGUGAUUCCCUUCUGGCAGAGAUCCCUGAUCACCGAUUGGCUGCCAUCCAACUCUGGAGCCAGUGUCACCAUGGCAACGCUGUCCAGGCCACCGUAGGUUUCCAUCAGGUACCCGAGCCCGCUGCUCUUGAAGGUCCGGAGAAACUUCUCCGGGUGAGCUCCUUUCUUCUCCACGCUGAUGAACGGGCCCUCCAGGUGAAAUCCUGCAGACAGGAUAUAUACAAUUUAUAUUUCUAUAAAGAUAAAUACAGAUAAUACUUUAAAGGACAAGUUUGCCAAUGUUGGGGUGUACUAGAGCGUGAUGUAUCUGAAAACUGUCCUACUGACACAAAAACUCUCUUGAAAAAAUGUCGAACAGCAGCAGAGACUCAAAGUUGUUACAUUUCCAGAAAGAAAAAGUUUGGAGAAGAAGUAACACAAAGCAAAAUACUAAUCAUAACAUUUGGAAAAAUAAAGUUGUACUAUUUUGGGAAAAGAAGUGGUUUUAUUUCAACUCAAUCCAACAAACACCGUCUUGCUGACACAAAUUCAAGCAAGGUGGAAAAGGGCAAUCCUAAUUUUAAUUUUAAAAAGUUGGAUACAUUUCAGAACUUUUUUAUUUUGGUAUUUACUCUUAAUGUUUGGAGAAAUUAAAUUAAUGAAUAUAAAACAAAUAUAUUACCAGAAAAAACACACAUUAGUGGCAAUUCAAGCUUUAAAAUAUACAGUGGUAUGCAAAAGUUUGGGCACCCCUCUGAGAUUUCAUGACAAUUUGCUUUUCCUUUAUAAUAGAAGAUCACAGCAACAACAUUUGUUUUCCUACAAAGAUGUAGACGUUUUAGUGUUUUCCAGACCAAAAUUCUUAGGGUAGCAUUACAUAGUUUUAUUAUAAUAAAAUAAAAUGCAAAAAAUGGGAUGUGCAAAAGUUUGGGCACCCUUAUAAAUAGCAUUCAUUUCAACACCUGUACGGAUUUAUAGCUGACAGGUUGCUGCACAAAAUUGCUUUGAUUAGCUCAUUAGACCUUCAAUUACAAAGACAGGUGGAACCAAUCAUGAAAAAGGCUAUUUAACAUAGGUAAUAGCUGGCUGUGCCUGGCCUAGGUUCUUUCUUAGGGAGUGGCAAGAUGGGGACCUCAAAACAACUCUCCACUGACCUGAAAGCUAAGAUAAUCCAACAUUAUAAAUUAGGAGAAGGGUACAAAAAAUUAUCUGACAGGUUUAAACUGUCUGUCUCCACAGUCAGAAACGUAGUUGUGAAAUGGAAGGCCACAGGAACAGUCCGUGUGAAGGAAAGAUGUGGUAGGCCGACAAAAAUAGGGGAAAGGCACAGGCGAAGGAUGGUGAAAAUGGUCACAGAGAAGCCACAGACCACCUCCAGAGAACUACAACAACAUCUGGCUGCUGAUGGUGUAGUUGUUCACCGUUCCACAAUCCAGCGUACUUUGCACCAGGAAGAGCUCAUUGGAAGGGUGAUGUGCAAAAAGCCUUUCCUGAGUGUUAAUCACAAGAAGAGUCGCAUGAGGUAUGCAAAAGCACAUCUGGACAAGCCAGAAGCAUUUUGGAACAAAAUACUGUGGUCAGAUGAGACCAAGAUUGAGUUAUUUGGUCAUAACAUGAACAGGUAUGCAUGGCGAAAAAAACACACUGCAUUCAAUGAAAAGAACUUGUUGCCCACUGUAAAAUUUGGUGGAGGAUCUAUCAUGUUAUGGGGCUGUGUGGCUUGCACAGGUACUGGAAAACUUGUUAAAGUUGAGGGCCACAUGAAUUCCUUACAGUACCAGGAGAUUAUUGACAAGAAUGUUCUAGAGUCAGUCACAAAGUUGAAGCUACGCCGGGGUUGGAUUUUUCAGCAGGACAAUGAUCCUAAACACCGAUCAAAAUCCACCAAGGAAUUCAUGCAGAAGCACAGGUACAAUGUUCUGGAAUGGCCAUCCCAGUCCCCAGACCUUAACAUCAUUGAAAAUGUAUGGAUUUAUUUGAAGAAGGCUGUCCAUGCACGGAGGCCAAGAAACCUGACUGAACUGGAGACGUUUUGUGUGGAAGAAUGGGCCAAAAUACCACCUGCCAGGCUUAAGGGACUUGUCUGUGGCUACAGGAGGCGUCUACAGGCCGUUAUUGCAGCAAAAGGAGGCAAUACUAAAUAUUAAUGGAAUUAUUUCUUAGGGGUGCCCAAAUUUAUGCACAUGCCUAUUUUUGUUUGAAUGCACAUAAACAUGUUUCUGUUUGACCAAUAAAAGUUAUUUCACUACUGAGAUGUUUCUGUUACCAUAAGGUAUAACAUAUGUUAAAAUGAA